rnacentral:misc_RNA from 1 species
AAGUCGUAACAAGGUUUCCGUAGGUGAACCUGCGGAAGGAUCAUUACAACGUAUCCACGUACCAAACUCUCGAACCGUUCCCAAUGGAGUCAAACACUUGUGGAUGAAGUUAAUGGCUGACUGCCUUUCGCUGAUGGAGUCCGCUGACUUUUGUCAGAGGGCUGAAAGGCAUUCAGUCGCCGGAGCUCGUCUCUGGAGCUCGUCUCUGGGACUUCGUUUGCUCCGUUGCGGUUUUACCGUCAGCGUUCGUUUUACCAUUAUUGACCCUUUGAAUUUAUGAACUGAACUUGAUAGCCUGGCAGGUGUCCUCGCUGGCUUUGGUCACGGACGUUCUGUCUGGUUUAUCACAUUUACGAAACAAAGAACAACUCUUAGCAACGGAUAUCUUGGUUCUC